rnacentral:rRNA from 1 species
AGUGAACGCUGGCGGUAGGCCUAACACAUGCAAGUCGAACGGCAGCACAGUAAGAGCUUGCUCUUACGGGUGGCGAGUGGCGGACGGGUGAGGAAUACAUCGGAAUCUACUUUUUCGUGGGGGAUAACGUAGGGAAACUUACGCUAAUACCGCAUACGACCUACGGGUGAAAGCAGGGGAUCUUCGGACCUUGCGCGAUUGAAUGAGCCGAUGUCGGAUUAGCUAGUUGGCGGGGUAAAGGCCCACCAAGGCGACGAUCCGUAGCUGGUCUGAGAGGAUGAUCAGCCACACUGGAACUGAGACACGGUCCAGAAUCCUACGGGAGGCAGCAGUGGGAAUAUUGGACAAUGGGCGCAAGCCUGAUCCAGCCAUACCGCGUGGGUGAAGAAGGCCUUCGGGUUGUAAAGCCCUUUUGUUGGGAAAGAAAAGCAGCAGGUUAAUACCCCGCUGUUCUGACGGUACCCAAAGAAUAAGCACCGGCUAACUUCGUG